GCCCCUAUAGUCUAGGGGUUAAGGACGUCGGCCUUUCGCGCCGGAGGCCCGGGUUCGAAUCCCGGUGGGGGCA
rnacentral:tRNA from 1 species